rnacentral:rRNA from 1 species
AUGGUGCUUGCUCCUGUUCAGAUUUUGUGAGCGAACAACUGGUGAACAAUGCGAAGGCAAACCUGCCCAGAAGCGGGGGAUAACACCUGGAAACAGAUGCUAAUACCGCAUAACAACUUGGACCGCAUGGUCCGAGUUUGAAAGAUGGCUUCGGCUAUCAC